CAGUCGCCGCGGGAAUACGUAGGGUGCAAGCGUUAAUCGGAAUUACUGGGCGUAAAGCGUGCGCAGGCGGUUUGUUAAGACAGAUGUGAAAUCCCCGGGCUCAACCUGGGAACUGCAUUUGUGACUGGCAAGCUAGAGUCUGGCAGAGGGGGGUGGAAUUCCGCGUGUAGCAGUGAAAUGCGUAGAUAUGCGGAGGAACACCGAUGGCGAAGGCAGCCCCCUGGGCCAACACUGACGCUCAUGCACGAAAGCGUGGGGAGCAAACAGGAUUAGAUACCCGAGUAGUCCCUGUCUCUUAUAC
rnacentral:rRNA from 1 species